CCAUUGGUGGUUCACUGGUAGAACUCUCGACUUCCAUGUGGGGUACCCGGGUUCAGCUCCCAGCCAAUGCU
rnacentral:tRNA from 1 species